rnacentral:rRNA from 1 species
UACGUAGGCAGCGAGCGUUGUUCGGAGUUACUGGGCGUAAAGGGUGUGUAGGCGGUUCUUUAAGUUUGCUGUGAAAUCUCCCGGCUUAACCGGGAGGGUGCGGUGAAUACUGAGGGACUAGAGUACGGGAGAGGAAAGUGGAAUUCCUGGUGUAGCGGUGAAAUGCGUAGAUAUCAGGAGGAACACCGGUGGUGUAGACGGCUUUCUGGACCGUAACUGACGCUGAGACACGAAAGCGUGGGUAGCAAACAGG